UUGUCGUCAGCUCGUGUCGUGAGAUGUUGGUUAAGUCCGCAACGAGCGCAACCCUCGACCUUAGUUGCCAGCAUUCAGUUGGGCACUCUAAGGUGACUGCCGGCUAAAAAGUCGGAGGAAGGUGGGGAUGACGUCAAAUCAUCAUGCCCCUUAUGACCUGGGCUACACACGUGCUACAAUGGGCGGUACAAAGGGUCGCGAACCCGCGAGGGGGAGCCAAUCCCAAAAAAGCCGCUCUCAGUUCGGAUUGCAGGCUGCAACUCGCCUGCAUGAAGCCGGAAUCGCUAGUAAUCGCGGAUCAGCAUGCCGCGGUGAAUACGUUCCCGGGCCUU
rnacentral:rRNA from 1 species